rnacentral:rRNA from 1 species
UACGUAGGCAGCAAGCGUUGUUCGGAGUUACUGGGCGUAAAGGGUGUGUAGGCGGUUCUUUAAGUUUGGUGUGAAAUCUCCCGGCUCAACUGGGAGGGUGCGCCGAAUACUGAGGGACUAGAGUACGGGAGAGGAAAGUGGAAUUCCUGGUGUAGCGGUGAAAUGCGCAGAUAUCAGGAAGAACACCCGUGGCGAAAGCGGUUCUCUGGGACGGUACUGACGCUGAGACGCGAAAGCGUGGGGAGCGAACAGG